rnacentral:rRNA from 1 species
UACGUAGGGCGCAAGCGUUAAUCGGAAUUACUGGGCGUAAAGCGCGCGUAGGUGGUUCGUUAAGUUGGAUGUGAAAUCCCCGGGCUCAACCUGGGAACUGCAUCCAAAACUGGCGAGCUAGAGUAUGGUAGAGGGUGGUGGAAUUUCCUGUGUAGCGGUGAAAUGCGUAGAUAUAGGAAGGAACACCAGUGGCGAAGGCGACCACCUGGACUGAUACUGACACUGAGGUGCGAAAGCGUGGGGAGCAAACAGG